rnacentral:rRNA from 1 species
UUGAAAAUGGAUUUGAUUUUGUAGGUUUCCACUUUAGGGAAUUCUCGGAUUCUACUCGAGAAAUCGGGGAAAAGAAAGGGAUUUUUCUAUACAAACCUACAAAAGAAAGCUUACAAAAAGUAAAAGCUAAAAUAAAACUUUGUGUCAAAGAACAUUCGCAACUUCCUCUGUGAAUGCUUUUCUCAAAACUAAAUCCAAUAUUAAGGGGCUGAGCAAAUUAUUACUCGUCUAGUACUGCAAAGUUAGCUUAUACCCGAAUAAGUAAAUACGUUUUUGAUUCCAUUCAUCGCAUGAUAAAAAUUAAGCAUCCAAAGCUUAAUGCUAAAGCGCUUAAAUCCAAAUUUUAUCACAAAGUGAAUAAUAGAGAUUGAUUAAUGUCUACUAGCACUGAAUUUAAAAGAUUUAAGAAAAUUAAUUUGUUUCAAAUAUCCGACACUCCUAUUAAAAGAACUACUAUGAUAAAACUUGACGCUAAUUCCUAUUUGGGUGAGUUUGAGGAGUAUUUUAAUAAAAGAUCUUUGAAUAUGUGUUUUAAUCAGCAAACGAAUAAUAUUCGAUUAAAGCUGGCAAAAAGACAAAAAGGUAUGUGCCCUAUAUGUAAAGAAUCUUUAAAUAGUCAAUAUGGAGAUAUAUUGUACGAAUUAGAAAUUCACCAUAUCAUACCUGUGGUGAGUGGAGGUAAAAAUAUAUUAAAAAAUAUGACUCUUCUUCAUAAAACGUGUCAUCGCGACAGAGCUGCGUUAGAAAACUUAUACUUAAGGAACUCGGCAAAUUUGCUCCGUACGUUCGCAACAAGGAGUACCUUAAAGGAUUCAAAAAUUAGGGGUAGCGACUGUUUAACAAAAACUCAAAACUUUGCAAAUUCGAAAGAAGACGUAUAAGGUUUGACGCCUGCCCAGUGCUUGAAAGCGAAAAAUACACGUUAACGCUUGUAUCAUAAACUCAAGUAAACGGCGGUCUUAACUAUAAGGAUCCUCAGGUAGCGAAAUUCCUUGGCGGGUAAAUUCCGUCCUGCAUGAAUGGCGUCACGACUACCCCACUGUCUCUAGUAUAAACUCAGCGAAAUUACAUUGUCUGUGAAAAUGCAGACAUCCUACAACAAGACGGAAAGACCCUAUGAUUCUUAACUAUAAUUUUACGUCGCAAUAAUUUUGUGUACAGUACAGUAAAAGUAGGAGUAUACUUAUACAAUUUUGAAAAACUACUCUGUACAUAAGAAAUUGCUUACUGAAGAGAAAAUAUGUAAAAGUGGUAGUUUACUUGGGACGAGGACCUCCUAAACUGUAACGGAGGUGCACAAAAGUAAAUUUUAAUUAGUUUUUUGUAUUAAUAAAAUAUGUAAUGGUAAAAAUUUGCUUGACGGUAAGAGUUACAACUCAAACCGGGACGAAAGUCGGUCAUAAUGAUCCGGCAGUAAUGUAUGGAAAUACUGUCGCUUAUCGGAAAAAAGAAACUCUAGGGAUAACAGAUUUAUCAUGGCUGAGAGUUCUUAUCGACGCCAUGGUUUGAUACCUCGAUGUCGGCUCAUCUUUUCCUGGAGCUGUAACAGGUUCCAAGGGUAUGGUUGUUCGCCAAAUAAUAAGAUACGUGAGCUGGGUUCAGAACGUCGUGAGACAGUUCGGUCCCUAUCUGUUGUGGGUAAGAAAAAACUAGAUUUAUCUUUAGUACGAGAGGAUUAAGAUAUAUUAACCAAUAGUGUAUCGGUUGUAUUGUUUCUUGCAUUGCCGAGUAGCCACGUUAACAUUAUAUAAGUGCUGACAGCUUAAAAGCACAAAAAUAAUCUUUAUUUUUUCAAGAACUUUCUAGAAGAUUACUAGAUAGAUCGGUUUAUUAUUUAAUACUUGUAAAAGUAAGUAAAUAAAUACGAAAAGUUCAUUAUAAUUUGUGUU